GCCUUCGUGGUGUAGUGGUCACCACGCUCGGCGCGUAUUCUAGAGGUCGCUGGUUCGAGUCCCGCCGAGGGCA
rnacentral:tRNA from 1 species